CCCUUAGAUGUUCUGGGCCGCACGCGCGCUACACUGACUACUUCAACGAGUUGUUUCCUUGAUCGAAAGGUCUGGGUAAUCUUUGAAAGGUAGUCGUGAUGGGGAUAGAUCCUUGCAAUUUUUGAUCUUCAACGAGGAAUUCCUAGUAAACGCAAGUCAUCAGCUUGCAUUGAUUACGUCCCUGCCCUUUGUACACACCGCCCGUCGCACCUACCGAUUGAAUGGUCCGGUGAAUCUUUAGGACUGUGGCUGAGGCCUUGUCUUGUGCGGGUCUGGCCGUGGGAAUUUAGUUAAACCUUACCAUUUAGAGGAAGGUGAAGUCGUAACA
rnacentral:rRNA from 1 species